GAGGGCAUAGCUCAGUGGUAGAGUGCAUGCCUAGCAUGCAUGAGGUCCUGGGUUCAAUCCCCAGUACCUCCA
rfam:Camelus ferus unplaced genomic scaffold scaffold128, whole genome shotgun sequence.